UUUAAAAGUCGAACAGACUUAAUUUUAUUAGCUACUACACCAACAAUUAAUUUUAAUCCAACAUCGAGGUCGCAAUCUUUUUUUUCGAUAAGAACUCUAAAAAAAAUCACGCUGUUAUCCCUAAGGUAAUUAAAUCUUUUAAUCUAAAUUAUAGGAUCAUUUAUCCAUAAACAAAUGUAUUUUUAAAGAAAAGUUUAUUAAAUUUUCCUAUCACCCCAAUAAAAUAAUAACAUUAAUAAAUAAUUUAUAAAUCCCUAUUAUUAAAUAUUAAAUAUUAAUAUAAAACUCUAUAGGGUCUUCUCGUCUUCUAUAUUAAUCUAAGCCUUCUUACUUAAAAAUAAAGUUUUAAUAAAUUUUUCAAGAGACAAUAAUUCUUUCAUUAAACCUUUCAUACAAGCUCUCAAUUAAAAAACUAAUGAUUAUGCUACCUUUGCACAGUUAAUAUACUGCGGCCAUUAAACUUAGUCAUUGGGCAGGCCARACUUGAAAUUAUUUUCAACAAGCCAUGUUUUUAAUAAACAGG
rnacentral:rRNA from 1 species